UCUUCUUUCUUAUCUCUCUCUCUCUCUCUCAUCUCUUCUCUCUCCUCUCUGUCUCUUUCUUAUCUCUCUCGCCUCUCUAUCUCUUCCUUCUUAUCUAUCUCUCCUCUCUGUCUCUUCUCUCUUAUCUCUCUCUCUCUCUUCUCUCACCUCUCUGUCUCUUCUUUCUUAUCUCUCUCUCUCUCUUCUCUCACCUCUCUGUCUCUUCUUUCUUAUCUCUCUCUCUCUUCUCUCACCUCUCUGUCUCUUCUUUCUUAUCUCUCUCUCUCUCACUCUCUCUCUCUCUCUCUCGUUCGCUCGCUCAGUUGGGUGUGUGGUAUAAGACCUCGUUAGUCUAGCCCGGACCCAAGUCUCUACCCGUAAAAGCCUGUAAGGAUUUCCCAUGGAAAGUUCACUGCCGCUCCUCUUUAUCUCUCCUCCACUCAGCCCUCUACAGGAACAGUGAAAACCGAGGAAGGUUCACAGUAGGAUAUCUUUUCCUCCUUCCUGU
rnacentral:lncRNA from 1 species